GAUGAACGCUGACAGAAUGCUUAACACAUGCAAGUCAACUUGAACUUCGGUUUGGGUGGCGGACGGGUGAGUAACGCGUAAAGAACUUGCCUCACAGAUAGGGACAACAUUUGGAAACGAAUGCUAAUACCUGAUAUUAUGAUUUUAGGGCAUCCUAGAAUUAUGAAAGCUAUAUGCGCUGUGAGAGAGCUUUGCGUCCCAUUAGCUAGUUGGAGAGGUAACGGCUCACCAAGGCGAUGAUGGGUAGCCGGCCUGAGAGGGUGAUCGGCCACAAGGGGACUGAGACGCGGCCCUUACUCCUACGGGAGGCAGCAGUGGGGAAUAUUGGACUAUGGACCAAGAGUCUGAUCCAGCAAUUCUGUGUGCACGAUGAAGUUGUUCGGAAUGUAAAGUGCUCUCUGUUGGGAAGAAAACAAUGACGGCCCCCCCUCAAG
rnacentral:rRNA from 1 species